rnacentral:lncRNA from 1 species
CUUCUGUUUUUCUGAGUAGAAAAUGGCACUUUGCACUUUCCUCAUUUUUUUCUCUAGAUGAUUAGGUUGAGAGAAUGAAAGGAUACCAUUUUAACCCAAUAUCCUGCCAGCGGCUGCUAAGAAGGAUACCAAUUAAUUCUAAUUGUAGUGGCAGCUUUUAGGAUGUUGACUCUUCUUUAUUAAGAUUAUAACCAGGAACUCAGUGCACAUAGGUCACAAUGUAGCUGUCAAAUGGCAGCAACUUCAAUCAAUACCCACCUGGAUUGGAUGCAACCUGAUGACCUAGAGAUUUUUUUAGAAGAAUGGAUUCAUUUUCAAGCAUCCUUCAAGUUUUCUUUCAGUUUCAUGUCAGACUGCUGUUUUACUCUGCAGCCUCUAUUAGACUGACCCCCGUAUUGCAUAGAAAUGGCUUAAAAUUCUCAACUGACAGAACCUGUAAAUGGCCAGAUGGGGUCAUCUGUGACAUAUUUUAGAUUCCACAU